UACGUAGGGGGCGAGCGUUGUCCGGAUUUAUUGGGCGUAAAGAGCGUGUAGGCGGCCCGGUAAGUCCGCUGUGAAAGUCGGGGGCUCAACCCUCGAAUGCCGGUGGAUACUGUCGGGCUUGAGUACGGAAGAGGCGAGUGGAAUUCCUGGUGUAGCGGUGAAAUGCGCAGAUAUCAGGAGGAACACCGGUGGCGAAGGCGGGUCUCUGGGCCGAUACUGACGCUGAGGAGCGAAAGCGUGGGGAGCGAACAGG
rnacentral:rRNA from 1 species